GGCGGUGGUUAAGUGGUAGAGCACCUGCUUUGCGUGCAGAAGAUCCCUGGUCCAACCAUCAGCAUUUCCAGGUAGGGCUA